CACGGGCUCCCUUUGAGCAAGCGCACUCGUACUCUGGCCCCACCCCUCCGCCGCCGUCGCCUUUGCGCAUGCUUGCUUCUUCCUCGUAGCGCGCUCGCCCCCGCCAACCCAUCCACGUCCUCUCCGACUCAGACGCGCUGGCUCCGCGCCCACACCCUGCGCAGCCCACCCUGCAAAAUGGCGGCUGCGGUUUCUAAGUCUCUUAGAGGGUGGAAAUUGAAAUACUCCAAAUCUCACCUGCCUCAUGGUUAGGGUGACUAUGCAGUACAUUCUGGAUGGAAACAGGCAUAUAUGAGACCAGGAUCCAGAAGACACAAGCACCUUUCACGAGCGAGAGCCCAGAUGUAUAUGGCCUCUGCUACUUCAUUCUUUCUCCCAAUCUGCACUAUGGAAUAUUAUAUUUCAAAAAAAACAAUGGUGAUAUUUCUUGUCCUGUGUGCUUUUCUGGAACCUGAACACUCUGUCAUCCAGAAGUGAAGUUUAUAUCCCUUUCCCUUGAAUCUGUAUGCUGACCAAUAAA